rnacentral:tRNA from 1 species
GGGCGGCUAGCUCAGUUGGGAGAGCGCGGCGUUCGCAACGCCGAGGUCGCGAGUUCGAGCCUCGCGCCGUCCACCA